rnacentral:tRNA from 1 species
CGGGGCGUGGCUCAGUUUGGCUAGAGCGCUUGCUUUGGGAGCAAGAGGUCGUGCGUUCAAGUCGCACCGCCCCGA